GGCAUUAAUAGUACAUCUUCUGAUUGGUUUCUUGGCUUGUAUCUUUCAAAUAAUCUUGUAUGUAAGUUGAGGAGAUCUUCCCCUUCAAUGAAAAUUUUGCUUUCACUUGGUUAGAAUUUCCUGGGAAUUUUAAGGCUUUUGUUUUUGUUUGGCUAUUGUCUUUUGUUUUUUUUUCCAAGAAAUUAUUUCAUUGGGAGUUUUAAAUAUUCAAAAGAAGAGGGAGGAAAUCCGCUUCCUGAGGUAAGGAAGUUAAGAAUACUUUCCAUUUAACAUGGAGAGAACAUGAAGCAAGUUACAAUAACAUUUGGGUAAUUUGCACCAUGAUGAAAACUCAAUAUAGCUUUACUACUCACUUAUCCAAUUGGAGAACAUAAGAGUUCAAACAAAAGCUUAACGAAGUCAUUAAACACAUAGAUAUAGAUAGAGUGAUUGGACAGCCAGGCAUUAAUUUGACCGAAGUCCAAUAGAGGUUUCCAUUUCUGAAAAGCCCUUAAGAUUGCAGUGACAAAAAAGUUUUUUUUUUUCUUCUAUGGAAUUCCAACUAGAUACACAAGCUCUUCCUUUGGUUCCCCUUUAAAAGAUUUUUUCCUUCAAGCUAGAUAUUCUCAACUUGUUAGUGGUAACUUCUGGAUGUUGACAAAAUGUCACGAUAGGUUGCAACACUGACCCUUCCUGGCCACAGUACCCGAUUUUCAAUUUAUUAGGAACAUUGUCAUUGAUAUUGCCAAUUUUUCUUCAAUCCUUAGGGGUGUAUUAAGAAGUUCUCUUCCAUUUACUGGACAGAUUAUCUAGUAUCCAUAUGUUUUUCCUACUUUUGUUGGUUUGUAUGGCAGAAGAGUUUCUUUUAUUUCGUUCUUGUGAUUUUACUUUCAUUAUUCUAUGCUAUAUUUUUGUAGGUUUCAUACACCAAUAACAUUUUUUCUUAUC